rnacentral:tRNA from 1 species
GCGGCAGUAGCUCAGUGGUGGAGCCCCCGCUUCACAUGCGGGGACACCUGGGUUUGAUUCCCGGCUGCUCCC